GGGGAAACGAGGAGGUCAUUCUGGAGGAGCUGACGGUCUUCCAGAGUCCUACUCCAAUCCUAAGCAUGGAGCUGUCAACCAAACGACAACAGCUGUAUGUGUCCAGUGAGCUCGGUGUGGCCCAGCUGGGUCUGCAGAGGUGUGAGUUAUACGGGACCGACUGCGCCGAGUGCUGCCUGGCCAGAGACCCCUACUGCUCCUGGGACGGACAGACCUGCUCCAGAUACUUCCCCACCAGC